rnacentral:rRNA from 1 species
UACGUAGGUGGCAAGCGUUGUCCGGAUUUACUGGGCGUAAAGAGCGCGCAGGCGGUCGUUCAAGUCGCGUGUGAAAGCCCCCGGCUCAACUGGGGAGGGUCACGCGAUACUGAUCGACUGGAAGGCAGGAGAGGGUAGUGGAAUUCCCGGUGUAGUGGUGAAAUGCGUAGAUAUCGGGAGGAACACCAGUGGCGAAGGCGGUUGCCUGGAGCUUUGCUGACGCUGAGGCGCGAAAGCGUGGGGAGCGAUCCGG